AAUACCUACGGGGGGCAGCAGUGGGGAAUAUUGCACAAUGGGGGAAACCCUGAUGCAGCGACGCCGCGUGAGUGAAGAAGUAAUUCGUUAUGUAAAGCUCUAUCAGCAGGGAAGAAACAGACGGUACCUGAGUAAGAAGCCCCGGCUAACUACGUGCCAGCAGCCGCGGUAAUACGUAGGGGGCAAGCGUUAUCCGGAAUCACUGGGUGUAAAGGGAGCGUAGACGGCUGAGCAAGCCUGAA
rnacentral:rRNA from 1 species